AAAUUGAAGAGUUUGAUCAUGGCUCAGAUUGAACGCUGGCGGCAGGCCUAACACAUGCAAGUCGAACGGUAACAGGAAGCAGCUUGCUGCUUCGCUGACGAGUGGCGGACGGGUGAGUAAUGUCUGGGAAACUGCCUGAUGGAGGGGGAUAACUACUGGAAACGGUAGCUAAUACCGCAUAACGUCGCAAGACCAAAGAGGGGGACCUUCGGGCCUCUUGCCAUCGGAUGUGCCCAGAUGGGAUUAGCUAGUAGGUGGGGUAACGGCUCACCUAGGCGACGAUCCCUAGCUGGUCUGAGAGGAUGACCAGCCACACUGGAACUGAGACACGGUCCAGACUCCUACGGGAGGCAGCAGUGGGGAAUAUUGCACAAUGGGCGCAAGCCUGAUGCAGCCAUGCCGCGUGUAUGAAGAAGGCCUUCGGGUUGUAAAGUACUUUCAGCGGGGAGGAAGGGAGUAAAGUUAAUAC
rnacentral:rRNA from 1 species